rnacentral:misc_RNA from 1 species
AAAAAAAAUAUUUACAAACAUUGGACAAGGUCCGUACUGUACCUUGAAAAUCUGGAAAAUUUGUUAAUAUUGGCUAAAGUCGUGGAAAACCUAGAAAAUCGUCAUUGAAGUACAACUUGGUAAACUACAAAACACAUCAAAUUCAGUUAUAAAAAUUUGAGUAACAAAGGUAUACUAAUUAUUGUAUUGCCUGAAAGAGUGUCAUUGCUAUUAAAAGUAGUGAAGAAUUCAAGUACUCUGGAAGAAAAGAAAAUACGUAAGUAAAUGGUCAAUUAUUUGGCACAAAUCGGAGUUAAAGACAAAGGAGAUUGUAUAUUUUAUUUGCUAAAAAUAGUUUUU